AGGAGAGUUUGAUCCUGGCUCAGGAUGAACGCUAGCGGCAGGCCUAAUACAUGCAAGUCGAACGGUAAAUGCCCCUUCGGGGGUAUGAGAGUGGCGCACGGGUGCGUAACGCGUAUGCAACCCACCCGCUGUCGGGGGAUAGCCCGGAGAAAUUCGGAUUAAUACCCCAUGAGGAGUUCUGGAGGCAUCUCCGGGAUUUCAAAACUACGGCGACGCGGCGGGGGACGGGCAUGCGUCCCAUUAGAUAGUUGGCGGGGCGACGGCCCACCAAGUCGACGAUGGGUAGGGGAUCUGAGAGGACGGUCCCCCACACUGGUACUGAGACACGGACCAGACUCCUGCGGGAGGCAGCAGUAAGGGAUAUUGGGCAAUGGGGGGAACCCUGACCCAGCCAUGCCGCGUGAGGGAAUGAGGCCCUACGGGUCGUGAACCUCUUUUGUCCAGGGACAAGGGCCCCCACGGGAUGGGGGCUUGAGGGUACUGGAAGAAUAAGCAUCGGCUAACUCCGUGCCAGCAGCCGCGGUAAUACGGAGGAUGCGAGCGUUAUCCGGAUUCAUUGGGUUUAAAGGGUGCGCAGGCGGCCUUGCAAGUCAGCGGUGAAAGCCCGGGGCCCAACCCCGGAAGUGCCGUUGAUACUGUAGGGCUGGAAUGCGGUCGAGGCGGGCGGAACGUGGCGUGUAGCGGUGAAAUGCGUAGAUAUGCCACAGAACGCCGAUGGCGAAGGCAGCUCGCCAGGCCUGCAUUGACGCUCGGGCACGAAAGCGUGGGGAUCGAACAGGAUUAGAUACCCUGGUAGUCCCCU
rnacentral:rRNA from 1 species